rnacentral:rRNA from 1 species
UGAGGAAUAUUCCGCAAUGAGCGAAAGCUUGACGGAGCCAUACCAUGUGACCGAAGAAGGCUAAGUCGUAAAGGUCUUUUCUUAGAAAUGAAAAAAAUGACAGUAACUAAGGAAUAAGUAUCGGCUAACUCUGUGCCAGCAGCCGCGGUAAUACAGAGGAUACGAGCGUUAUCCGGAUUUACUGGGCGUAAAGAGUCUGUAGGUUGUUUUAAAAGUCAUAUGUUAAAGAUUAAGGCUUAACCUUAAAAAAAUAUAUGAAACUUUAAAACUAGAGAGCAAUAGAGGUAGAGGGAAUUUCUGGUGAAGCGGUGAAAUGCUUAGAUAUCAGAAAGACCAUCAAAGGCGAAGGCACUCUGCUGGGUUGUUUCUGACACUGAGAGACGAAAGCUAGGGUAGCAAAUA